ACCACCCAUAGCCCCCUACUCCUACCCCCUUAUACUGAUCGGAGACGUCACGAGAAACGUCUUGCGGCAGUCUGGUGCGUGAGAUCGAAGAUGAAGGUUCAGUCCGUUACAUUGGCUUGAGAUUUUGAGAACUAAUAUUUCUAUCAUGUUCAGUAGUUUCCCGCCCCGCUAUUAAUUAUUUUGAAACAUAACUCAUUCUUUCCAAUUCGAUUGCUUGCUGAGUUUCUUCUGAGUCGAAUGAAAACACUCGUAUCCGUUGUUAUUGUAUGAGUUUUCGGUAGCCGUUCUUCCGUGACGUUUACAUGAUAUUUGGUUUGAAGAUAUCGUUUUGGAAGUCAGUUUGUUCAUCAGUCAUUUUGUUUUAAUUUGUCAAUAUUUAUUGGUCUCUCCAACAACAUUCGACAAGGCGAUGCACGAAGACGGAAAACGGUUACUCUGCACCAGAGCUGUUCCAUAACUUCACAGAUCAUCCCUUCGUCAUGAUUUCCCAGCUUCACAUCUUGUCUGUUAUGAGCUUACGCGUCGUUGAAGUCAAUAUUUUUUGGUCCCUCCAUCAUCGUUGAGGCGGUGCACAAAGACGAGACAUUUUCGCUUUGCAAGAGAUGUUCCUGAAUUACGGGUCUUCGCUUCAUCACGGUUCUUCGCUUCACCACGGGUCUUCAUUUCAUCACGGUUCUUCGCUUCAUCACGGUUCUUCGCUUCAUCACGGGUCUUCGCUUCAUCACGGUAAAAUCUCUCCAACUCCUUCCUGCUAUCAGAAUUAAUUGCGGACGACUCGACCAUUUGUCUAUAUUCUCUCAAUUUUCAAAGUGAGCUAUUGCAGUAUUCUUCCUCUCCGCUGACAGUGGCCGUCACCAUUUAGGCGGUAUUUAGUAAUCUGUCAAACUUCACAUACUAAAACCACAAUUUCGAAAUAGGCUGUUGGAGCUCCUGGAGAAAUAAUCGCGAUUUCAUAGAUUUUUUAACCUUAAAAAAGGCUCAUGUAGGCAAUUGAAGUCUCCCCUGCCCCGUUUCCUUUUGGAUUCAUCUGAAUUUUUAGUAUGUUAUUCACCGAGGAACGACUUUCCUGAAAUUUCCAUGACCGAGAAGAUUUUUUGC